rnacentral:rRNA from 1 species
UACAAGUAAGCAGCCGCGGUAAUACGUAGGGUGCAAGCGUUAUCCGGAAUUAUUGGGCGUAAAGAGCUCGUAGGCGGUUUGUCGCGUCUGCUGUGAAAUCCCGAGGCUCAACCUCGGGCCUGCAGUGGGUACGGGCAGACUAGAGUGCGGUAGGGGAGAUUGGAAUUCCUGGUGUAGCGGUGGAAUGCGCAGAUAUCAGGAGGAACACCGAUGGCGAAGGCAGAUCUCUGGGCCGUAACUGACGCUGAGGAGCGAAAGGGUGGGGAGCAAACAGGCUUAGAUACCCUGGUAGUCCACCCCGUAAACGUUGGGAACUAGUUGUGGGGUCCUUUCACGGAAUUCCGUGACGCAGCUAACGCAUUAAGUUCCCCGCCUGGGGAGUACGGCCGCAAGGCUAAAACUCAAAGGAAUUGACGGGGACCGCACAGCGGCGGAGCAUGCGGAUUAUUCGAUGCAUCGCGAAAAACUUACCAGGCUUGACCUACCCAGACACC